UACAGAGGGUGCGAGCGUUGUUCGGAAUUAUUGGGCGUAAAGGGCGCGUAGGCGGUGCGGUAAGUCACCUGUGAAAUCUCCUGGCUCAACUGGGAGCUUGCAGGCGAAACUGCCGUGCUGGAGUGUGGGAGAGGUGCGUGGAAUUCCUGGUGUAGCGGUGAAAUGCGCAGAUAUCAGGAGGAACACCGGUGGCGAAGGCGGGUCUCUGGGCCGAUACUGACGCUGAGGAGCGAAAGCGUGGGGAGCGAACAGGG
rnacentral:rRNA from 1 species